GGCUCUGUAGCUCAGUUGGUAGAGCGUACGACUGAAAAUCGUGAGGUCAGCGGAUCGUUCCCGCUCGGGGCCA
rnacentral:tRNA from 1 species